CUAAACCCUAAAUUCAUUUCAUUCACAUCCUCCCCCAUUCUUCUUCUCUCUCUCACCAGACGCGGCGAUUUCACUAGAUCCACCCCAAUCCUUCUUUCUCCGGCGAUUCCGGCAUCAGAACUACUGGGUUCAACUUCUUUUAGGGUUUCUUUCUCCCGUGGAAAAAAGAUCCAGAUGAAGAUGGAGCGGUGGAGAUACCGUCGACUUAGAUCUACCUUACCACCGUCGAGCCAAAUCUGAGGUUACACGACUAAGGAAUAUGAGAACCAUAACUUUGCAGAUCUGAGUUCCUAGAGGAAUAUUGAUAGCCCGGAUCUGGAAUCCAGUGUUGUUUGCCCAGAGUGUGUUACUCAUGGAAGAAGCUGUUACUCGACAGCAUAGCUGACUUUUUUUCGCCCUUCUAUUAAGCUUGAUGUUUCCGAGGAAGGGGCCACAGGUUGUCUUACUUUUGAAUGGAAGACUCUAAAUCUGGUUAGCAUCGAGUCACGAGGGUUGGAUCCUCUCAAAGACAAGUUGGUGAAACAGCUUUGAAUGAUACCCGUUCUCGAUCACAUCAGAUAAUAAGACUGACGAUAGAGAGCACAGUUCGGGAUACUUCAGACUGCGUGAGGUCCAUUGUUUCAAGCCUGGUAUAUUUUGAUAUUUACCUGAAGCUUAUAUGAUACUCAAUGUUGAAUCGUACGUUUGUGAAAUUUGAUCAGCGUUUGUGAAGGAAUUCAUAUCAGCACCACCGCCACUCCCACCACAGACGUUGCAACGUCGUCCGGCGCCCUACAUUCAACCGACACACCUGCAGCCGCCGUCCAACGUUGGGCCUUUGUUAUCUCACAACGCUACCAACACCUGCUGGAGAAGUCAACUCCAUUCUUGCUCUACCGUUGGAUUGUCUUCUGCGUAAACAAAGAGGAUAUGACAAGUGUGGAUAAUGCAAGGGUUGGUCAAGCUGCCGUUGGUCAAGAUACCUUAGGUGUAAACAAAGAGGAUAUGACAAGUGUGGAUAAUGCAAGGGUUGUCGGGCUAUUGGGCAAGAAUGGUUAGAAUUUACUUUCGUUGUGUUUGUAUAUUUCGGCAAUUUAUUCCGGUGGUUAAAAUCAUAACGUAUAACCAUUGGACAGGUGCGUCCUGGUAUCAAAACUUUGGGCUCGGUCCGAGAUUGAUGACUCACGCUUAAAUACUAUAGCAACCACUUCUGGUUCAUCCCCGUCGCUUGAUACUACCAGAUCUUGUGAGCAUGCUGGUUCAAUGGGCUGGAGUUCCACGAGUGUGUCAAAAGUUGGUACUGGCGCUUUAGAAGUAUUGUCAUUCCCUUAAAGCUUUUGGAACCAAAACGCUUCGGAGCGCCUCGCGCUUUAUUAAACCAAGGUUUGGUCUGUUGUUGACACUGGUGUCUUUUUCAGAUUUCAACUAGACAUAGGGUUCCGGUAAGGCGGCAACACUUAAGGAGUUCUGGAAUCUUUUAUAAUAACUGCUGAUUUAUUUUUUGAAGUUGUUUGUGUAGUAAAUUGUUGGUGCAAAAAAAUCGGUAUUAAUGUUUGCUGCUGGGCAGAUGCUUAGUGCUGGUGGGAAGAGAGUGAGACCAGCCUUGGUUUUUUAAGGGUCAAGAACCACAUUAGCGCUUACAGAGUUGCAUGUAUAGAGGUGAAUAUACCAAACGAUGUAAUGGUUGGCUUACUGGUGACAUUGAGGCUACAAUUGUGGCAUGCAAACCCUAUGUUAAGGUAAUAAAAUGUGAAUAGCAAUGUUAAAUGUUUUACAACCAAAUACUUCUCAUUAGCAGCAGCUGCCCACAUUGUAAGCAUUUCUUAGGCUGCAAGUUUCGUUUUACUAAAGUUCCUAGCUUGAAUCAAAAUUUAAUGAAGUGGUUCCGUCUAUCUGAACAUUGGCAAUACGCUUAAUUUCUAUGAAAUAUGCUGCUAAUUACAUGGGUCAAACAUUGGCAUUACGUUUAAUUUAUAUGAAAUAGGUUAAGUAAAUAAAAAUAGCUGAAAAGGAAACACGUCAAAUGGUUUAAAAAUGACUGAUACUUUAUUCAAGUGUUUGAAAUUUCAUAAAUUUCUUUACUCUAAAAAGCUGGAUCAUAAAUUUGACCCGUUAGUGAACUCAUUGUUGCUGCGACUACAAUUCAUAAAAUAUACAAAUGUUAUCGACGAAGAAAUUUAGAAGAUUGUGCUCUGGGGUUGGACUGCUGAAACCUUUUCAGUUUCUUCACUAUUGAGGUUUAUCGGCUGCAGCGGGUAUGCUUCACUUAGUAAGCUUCAUUUAUUGAAUGUGGCUAUUGGAAAAGUUGAUUAAACUGAAAGUAGGUUCAUUAACUAGAUGUGUGAGAGAGAUGCCAAGACAAAAGUUGGUCAGCCUGUACGACUGAUGACUCGAUAAGUUCAUGCAUGGUCAUGACAUGUCUUUACUUUUUUAUAUAUGGAUUCAGUUUUUUGUUCUUAGACUCAUAGAAGACGUUUUUAGAUUCAAUUUUUGUUCUUGAAUUCAAUUCUUGUUCUUAAACUCAAUUUUUGUUCUUGAAUGCAAGUCCGCGCUACGAAAAUGAUUGCAGCCGCGGCUAAUAUAAAGAUAGUUGACCAAGGUGGCAUACCUGCCUUGUAUGCAGGUUUGACUCCAAUAUUACUGCAGGUGCUACCAUCUGCUGCAAUAAGUUACUUUGUUUAUGAACUCAUGAAGAUAGUCCUCAAAGUUGAACCAGAGUAAGUUUUUGUUUCUUUUUUCAAACGUUAUACACCUUGUAAUGAACUUUUUGGCAAGUGAUUUGUUGAUCGAACAAACUUUUGCCCUUGUAAGGUUUAACUUUCUCUCGGUUAUUUUGAGAGCCUGUUUGGAUUUGUCUGAGGUCCUAGAUGAUGUUUGUUUGAUUUUGGAAGUUGUCGAGUGCUCUAUUGAAUAAUUGUUUUGUGAAUA